rnacentral:rRNA from 1 species
UACGGAGGGUGCAAGCGUUAUCCGGAAUCACUGGGUUUAAAGGGUGCGUAGGCGGUCUAGUAAGUCAGUAGUGAAAGGUUCCCGCUUAACGGGAGACGUGCUAACGAUACUGCUAGACUUGAACAUAGAUAAAGUGGGCGGAAUGCAUCAUGUAGCGGUGAAAUGCUUAGAUAUGAUGUAGAACACCGAAAGCGAAGGCAGCUCACAGUACUAUCGUUGACGCUGAGGCACGAAAGCGUGGGUAGCGAACAGG